GACGCGGUGGCCUAAUGGUUAGCGCGCUGGACUCUGGAUCUCAGUAGCUGUCUGGGUUCGAGCCCUGGCUGGGGUGACUGUGUCG